UGCCUCAGUAACGGCGAGUGAAGCGGCAACAGCUCAAAUUUGAAAUCUGGCCUCUUUGGGGUCCGAGUUGUAAUUUGUAGAGGAUGUUUCGGGUACCGCCUCGGUUUAAAUUUCUUGGAACAGAAUGUCAAAGAGGGUGAGAAUCCCGUCUUGGACCGGCGGUAGGGCCCAUGUGAAACUCCUUCGACGAGUCGAGUUGUUUGGGAAUGCAGCUCAAAAUGGGUGGUAAAUUUCAUCUAAAGCUAAAUAUUGGCCAGAGACCGAUAGCGCACAAGUAGAGUGAUCGAAAGAUGAAAAGCACUUUGAAAAGAGAGUUAAACAGUAUGUGAAAUUGUUGAAAGGGAAGCGCUUACAACCAGACUUGCGCGCGGCGGUUCCCCCUUCCUUUUGGUUGGGCUACUCCGUCGUGUCCAGGCCAACAUCGGUUCUGGGGGUCGGUUAAAGACCCUGGGAAUGUAUCUACCCUUCGGGCGUAGACUUAUAGCUCAGGGUGUCAUGCGACCUCCCGGGACCGAGGAACGCGCUUCGGCUCGGAUGUUGGCGUAAUGGUUGUCAGCGACCCGUCUUGAAACACGGACCAAGGAGUCUAACAUCUAUGCGAGUGUUUGGGUGUCAAACCCGGAACGCGAAAUGAAAGUGAACGGAGGUAGGAAGCCAUGAGGCUGCACUAUCGACCGAUCCUGAUGUCUUCGGAUGGAUU
rnacentral:rRNA from 1 species